rnacentral:rRNA from 1 species
AUUGAACGCUGGCGGCAUGCUUUACACAUGCAAGUCGAACGGUAACAGGGUGCUUGCACCGCUGACGAGUGGCGAACGGGUGAGUAAUGCGUCGGAACGUGCCGAGUAGUGGGGGAUAACGCAGCGAAAGUUGUGCUAAUACCGCAUACGUACUGAGGUAGAAAGUGGGGGACCUUCGGGCCGCACGCUAUUCGAGCGGCCGACGUCGGAUCAGAUAGUAGGUGAGGUAAAUGCUCACCUAGGCGACGAUCAGUAGCGGAUCUGAGAGGAUGAUCCGCCACACUGGGACUGAGACACGGCCCAGACUCCUACGGGAGGCAGCAGUAGGGAAUUUUGGACAAUGGGCGAAAGCCUGAUCCAGCCAUGCCGCGUGUCUGAAGAAGGCCUUCGGGUUGUAAAGGACUUUUGUCAGGGAGGAAAUCCCUAGUGCUAAUAACACUGGGGGAUGACAGUACCUGAAGAAUAAGCACCGGCUAACUACGUGCCAGCAGCCGCGGUAA